UACGUAGGGGGCAAGCGUUGUCCGGAAUCAUUGGGCGUAAAGAGCGCGUAGGCGGCCCUGUAAGUCCGCUGUGAAAGUCAAGGGCUCAACCCUUGAAUGCCGGUGGAUACUGCAGGGCUAGAGUCUGGAAGAGGCGAGUGGAAUUCCUGGUGUAGCGGUGAAAUGCGUAGAGAUCAGGAAGAACACCGGUGGCGAAAGCGCUCUGCUGGACCUUAACUGACACUGAGGGACGAAAGCUAGGGGAGCGAAUGGG
rnacentral:rRNA from 1 species